CAAUUCAACAAAUUUGCUUGUUUAGCUUUAUUUUUUCAGGCCGAUCUCCUUCUCACAGGCUGCCUGACCUCAACCCGCCUGGAUAUGAGCCGUCGCGAGGUUGUUCGGAGGGUAGAGGAGAGUGUGGCCAUCCUGACGGACGCAAACCUGGAGCGCCACUUCACUGAGAGUGAGCAUGUAGUGAAAACGAUCAAGGUGAUCCAGGAGACCCCGCUGGCACACCUGAAAGAUAUUCGGGGAAUAAUUAUUAAACUGAUAGCGCUCUAUAACGCCUCCUGAACCGGCAGGUAGGAGUACCUAGAGAUUGAGCUGGAGACAGUGAAGGUGCUGACCUUUGUGUGGAACACUAAGAAGCUGGCAAGUUUUCAUAUUGAAGGGCAUGGUUCCCAACCGCCCAUCACACACAGAAUGUAGCUUGUCCUCUUCCGCAGUAAAAACUGUACCAUUUUAAAAUGGAGGGGAUGGUGUUGGAGAUGCUACGGAGACUAAAGGGCAACAUGACUUGCAAGAACUUCACCAUAAUAUCCUGAAGAGGAACAUUAGCUUGUCCAGGACCACUUCGCAAGCAAUGACCCACAAGUACUGGACAUUGCUAGAACUGCUCUGCGGGUAUGUUGCUGGGUGCUGCAAGAUGCUUUCUGCUAUAUUGACUGCUUCCGAGCGCUUCCUGGACCUAAAACUUAUCUCCCAGCAGCAACCUCCCCAAGGUGUGACGAGAGUCUUCAAGUGUUCCAGACGGCUGGUGAUGCAUUUCAAGAAAAGCCAUCAGAAUCUUGCAAUGAUCUGUAUACUUAAUAAAUGACAAAACAACAACA